AUGUCAUGGAAUUCUUGUGGGUGGCUUCUCUCAUGUGUUGUGCCCUGCUCAAGACAUAAGGAAAGAUCUCAAGGUGCCUGGAGAUUUCCACUAAGGAUCCACUCAAGAUACAGAUGUUGUAGGCCUUCCGCCAACCCGACUCACGGGGCGAUGGUUAGCACGGGGCAAUUCCCAAGCAGCAAACCAGCAAGACCGUCUCCCGGUCUGAUAAAGCGGCUGCCGGCAGUGGGGCAGAUCAGGUCGUCCGGGCAAAGCGGAAGAUGGUGACGUGCUGAUGGUGGUAAGGCAUGCUUUGCCCAUAAGAGCCUUUCAGCUUCACCAUAGCUAAGAAACUGUCUCUUAUUAAUACCUUCCUCACAAAGGGGAAGAUAAAUAGGCUGAUUCUUUAGCUCUCUGUCAAUGACACAUCUUCAGAAAUCCACUGCUCAGUUAAGGGAAUGUGUGCAACCUUCUAAAAAAGAAACAACUAUUUUUGUUUGUUUGCAUGUUUGUUUGUUUUUGUUUGUGGAAAAAAACAUGAAUUUUAACCAUAUUUUAUAACCCCGGGUAAAUUAACAGAUGCACUCUUGGUUAAGUUAAGCUGCACAACCGGAACUCUCAAACAACCGGUACAAAAAAAAAAAUCAAAGAAAUAAUACUGCAUUCACCAAGUUGAAUAAUGCAAUAAACUGUGCUACAUUAAAUUAAGUUUGUCUUAAUUUGCCUUUAAUUAUUGUAUUAAUGCAGCUUGACACCACUUGAUCUGCCACAGCCCAAUUCUAUAGAAUCAUUGGUGUCGUAGUUUGAUAAGGCCUUUAGCUUUCUCUGCCUAAGUAUGCUGCUGCCUCAGUAAACUACAAUUUGCAGGACCUCAUAACAAUUGAGCCAUGGACAAAAUUAAAGUAGGUGCACUCUGGACUCCACAAACAAUGGAUCUAGACAAAGUUGUAUACCACAAUAAAAUGGUGCUACAUUAAGAUUAUCUGGGAUUUGUUUUUAAUUACUGUAUUAAUGAAAUUUGACACCACUUGAUCUGCCAACGUUCAAUACUAUGGGAGUUGUAUUUUGACAAGACCUUUGGCUUUUUGUGUCGAAGUGUGCUGCUGCCUCAGUAAACUACAAUUCCCAGGAUUCCAUAACAUUCAGCCAUGAGCAGAAAACAAGUAGGUAUAAACUAUUGUUCUCCCAACUCUUAUUUGUUUCCAUGUAAAAUAGUAUCACAGAACUUAGUAAAGUUAAGGGCCCUCUGGUGGCGCAAUGGGUUAAAGCGCUGAACUGCAGACCGAAAGGUUGGCAGUUUGAAUCCAGGAAGUGGGUGAGUUCCCACUGUUAGCCACAGCUUCUACCAACCUAGUAGCUCGAAAACAUGCAAAUGUGAGCAGAUCAAUAGGUACUGUCUUGGCGGGAAGGUAAUGGAGCUCCAUGCAUUCAUGCUGGCCACAGGACCUUGGAGGUCUCUACGGACAACGCCGGCUCUUUGGCUUAGAAAUGGAGAUGAGCACCACCCUCCAGAGUCGGAUACAAUGAGACUUAAUGUCAGGGGGAAACCUUUACCUUUACCUUUUUUGUGAAGUUAAAAAUACAUUGGUGGCAGGAAAAAAAAUAGUUUGAUGUUCCUGGCAGUUUGAAUUAUAUAUGGGACUGACAAACACUCCUUGAAGAUCCCUUGCCAAAAGAAAAAAAAGUAUGACAAUGUUUAGUGUCAGAAGCGAACCGAGGGUACAGAUGUAAUAUAUUUAAAAAACACAAAGUUAAAAAACUUGGCAUUAUAGUAAAUGUCCUUUGACCAGUAGCUGGCCACUUGGAGUGCCUCUGGUGUUGCCAUCAGGUCUUCCCUUGUGAAUGUGGCAGGGCUCAGGCUGCCUUGUAGUAAGUGGUCUGUGGUGUGCUCUUCUCCACACUCGCAUGUCGUGGACUCCACUUCGAAGCCCCAUUUCUUAAGGCAUCUCGUGCUGCCAGAGCACAGUCUGUUCAGCGCCUUCCAAGUCGCCCAGUAUUCUGUGAAGCGAUUUGCAGCAGUGUGUCAAUUCAUUGGGUUUAUACAUUUUUAACAAACAUGAACUGAGGGAAAAAACCCAUAUGCAAAGAAUACUCUGAAGUUAACAAACAAGAGAUCUGGGCCGAGUUGUAUAACUCUGGAGGUUGGUACUCAUCUCCAUUUCUAAGCCAAAGAGCCAGAGUUGUCCAUAGACACCUCCAAGGUCAUGUGGCCGGCAUGACUGCAUGGAGCACCAUUACCUUCUCACCUAUUGAUCUAUUCACAUUUGCAUGUUUUCAAACUGCUAGGUUGGCAGAAGCUGGAGCUAACAGUGGGCGCUCACUCCACCUCCCGGAUUCGAACCUGCAACCUUUCGGUCUGCAAGUUCAGCAACUCAGCGCUUUAACACACUGUGCCACCAGGGGCUCCAGGCAGAUAAAAAGUAAAUGCAACCAAUUUUUUCCAACUGGAAUUGUUUCCAUGUAAAACAAUAUGACAGAACCCAAUAUCAACAACCCAAUAUAACAGAACUUAGUGUGGUUCAAAAUAUUUUUUAUGUAUUUAUUUACUACAAUUAUAUCCUGCCCAUCUCACCCGGAAGAGGACUCAGAGAGGCUUACAAAUUAUAUGUACAUACAAUAUAUUGUAUUAUUAGCAUAGCACAAUAUUAGCAUUAUAUUUUGCUAUAUUGUAUUAUACCACUAUAUUGUAAUAUUAUUAGUAAUAUUACAUGUAAUAUAUUAUUAUUAUAUUGUAUAAUUAUUAGUAUUGUAUUGUAUUACAUUGUAAUAUUAUUAUCAAUAUUAUAUGUAUAUACAUAUAAUACAGUAGAGUCUCACUUAUCCAACAUAAACGGGCCAGCAGAACAUUGGAUAAGCGAAUAUGUUGGAUAAUAAGAAGGGAUUAAGGAAAAGCCUAUUAAACAUCAAAUUAGGUUAUGAUUUUACAAAUUAAGCACCAAAACAUCAUGUUAUACAACAAAUUUGACAGAAAAAGUAGUUCAAUAUUCAGUAAUGCUAUGUAGUAAUUACUGUAUUUACGAUUUUAGCACCAAAAUAUCACGAUAUAUUGAAAACAUGUGUUGGAUAAUCCAGAACGUUGGAUAAGUAAGACUCUACUGUACAUUGGUUGCAGAAAGAAAAAUAGGUUCAAUGUUCAGUUUGAAUUAUGUAUGGGACUGGGGAAAAUUCCUUGAGCAUGCAUUGCUCAAAAAAAAAAAAAAAGAUGACAAUUUAUUGAGUUGCUGAUAGGCAAGGCAAGAACCGGUGCCCUUUGAGACCGCCUCGGAAACCUCAGCGUGCGGCGACCGGGUUUCUUUUGCAUACAGCCCAUGAGCCAUCGCGCGAGGACUUCCGACUCGAUUUAACAGAGGAAAUCGUAAGGUAAGUCCUUAGAAAAAAUAAAUUUUUAAAUAGCGUUAUGAUUCUUGUUGUUUCUUCGGAGCAAGGCAUACGAUCGGAGCGGAAGCUUUGGGUAGACGUCAUAACGUAAAAGCAGGUCGCCUAUGAUGUCGGUUCGUGGUGGGGCCUGUGUUUGUUGCUGUGAGUUUUCCGGGUUGUAGAAGAUUUUUGGCCGUUCCGGAAUUAAACCCGCGGACGGGGGAGUCAACACUCCCCUUAGUUCGCAAUUUUUGGAGGCCUUUCGCUAGGCCAAUCACGUAGUCUAAGAACAGAAUAAGUAGGAGGUAAAGUAGUUGCUGUUAAGUUCCUUGUGUGUAAAUACAAGGAUGGGCCAAGUUGGUUCUUCCGGGCGUUUUGGACUUCAACUCCCAGCAUUCCUGGCAGC
ensembl:lncRNA